UUGAAAGCAAGGUGGGAAUGACAGAGGAAAGGAGAGAAAGAGGGGAAGGAAGGAGAAGGAGGAGAGUGGAGGUCAGACAGUUACUGCCAGCAGGUAGGCAGGCAAUGAGGCAAAUUAGCAGACAGGCUGAUAGGCGCAUACACAGUCAACAGACAGUUUAGGUACAUAGGCAGGCUGGCAGAUGGACACACAGAAAGACAGGCAUACAAGUUAGCAAACGGGCAAAUAGGCAGUUUGGAAGCCAGGAAGGAUAACAGACAGGCAUGUAGAGAAAGGCAAGCCAACAGAUGGAGUAGCAGGCAAGCUGGCCAACAGAAAAGCAAAACAUUGAAUAACGUUCCCUAGAAAUAAACAGCCAUUGGCCCAGGAUGCUGCAGUUAUCAGAGAACACACGCUACUUCCGGCCUCACAUCCGCCGUCGUGACGUCGCAGACGUGGCUAGGACGCCGUCUGGCUCAUCACACCAUCAUUAGACAAUCUCGAGCUUUCGCGGACAACUGGCACGAGAGUUAGGGUCCUUACGAAACCUAGAGGAGUACGGGGAAGGGGGGUGUCGACUUCCGGGUGCUGCCAUGAUACUUCCGGCUUCCUCGCCAGCCGAGAACUCGGUGAACUUGAUCCCAGCUCAGUUUCUUUCUGCCGUGGCAGUUGGGUUCUUGCUAUCUUCCGACUUUCCGGAGAUAUUGGAGCAGGAAAUAGCCACUCCCUCGAUUUUUGACGGAAAGAAUGGGGAAAAUAGGAGGGGAAAAUGGGUCCGGACGCUACCUGAAAAGCCCCCUGAUUUGGUUGGAAUGCAUAAGAUCUUCCUCUGCUCCUUCCCUGGGGCUGUCCUCGGCCUCGUAGGCCCUAUCUGUAAAUUGGGGUGGGGUAUGGACUCUUCCAGCUUAAAUCGACCAUCCUAAGCUAUCUGAGAUGGGAAUCCAUUGGAACUUGACACCAUUACCACAAUGGGUUGUGGCUGAAGCUCAAUCUUCUGUUCUGUUUGUUCAAGGUCUUCUAUCCUGCUAUCUUCCACCUCCUGUGCCAUCAUUUCUUGUAUCAUGGUUUCUUUUGAGUCUUGUGCUUUGAUUACUGAAGUGAUCACAGUGCCUGAUGGGUGAGCAACCAGCUGUGAAUUUCGAGGGGAAAAGGUCACCACAGGAGUAGUAGCACUAAAGGAGGGAGAUGAAGUCACACUGACUGUCCCAUUGCAGAUGGUCUGGACAUUGCUAGUAAGAACCUGUUGUACAUGGGCAGGACUGAAAACAAUAGAUGAAGGAGGAGAGCCUGGCUUUGGGGACUGCAGCAUGACAUUUUCUUUUAGAACAGUCAUAGGCUGUGAUGAUGGAAUGGCUUGCAAAAUAAAUUUUUGGGACCCAGUUCCUGAUGCUGGAUCUGUGCUGGCUAGAACUGUUGUAAGUGGCACUGUUUGGAGUGUGACUGUAUGCAACUGUUGAUUCCCAGGAGAAACCACCACAGGAACCUGGGUUGGAGUCUGAAGAGUCCUGUUGAAAUUCCAAAACAAAAAUAAGAAAAAUGAGAGUACAUAUAGACAGUCAGUUGUCUUCCCUCCCCCAUCAAUCCUUAAGGGGUUUUGUCCUAGUAACAACUCUUAAGAAGAAAGAAGGGCAAGGGCUAGGCAAAUGGUUUUAAGGAUCCGGGAUCCCAGAGCUAGGAAUUUUUUGAGGGUAUAUUUGAACUUAGGGCUUCUCAAUUCUAGGCCUAGCACUAUAUAGACUGUGCUACCUAGCUGCCUCCUUAAUUGUCUUUUAAAAUAAAAAAUUAUAAUUAUUAGAGAUUCUUUUUUAAAUGUUACUCUUUGGAAGAACUAAGUUGCAUGACAAGUACCCCUAAUAUGCCCAUACAAAUGCAGAGGGAGAGACACAGAUUUUAAGACAAUCAAAUAUAUAGAAAAACCUAAGAAAUUUUAAGGGGUAAUCAUUUUCAUUAAAAAAAUUUUUUAACUUUAUAAUUCCACUGUUAAGAUUUCUUUUUGUUGCCCUUCUUUGAUUCAUGCUCUUAUCCCACACCUGGAUUAUAACAAUAAGCAUUAUGAUUGGUCUGUGCCUCAAGUCUCUUCCCACUAGAUUCCACCUUCCACUCAACCUGUCAAGUCAACUCCCCAACCCUGCAAUUUGGUAAAACUCCAAUUACCUCCCAUAUCAAAGAUGAAGCCUUCCAAACACCCCAUCAUUGUUAUUCUAUGCCUUUUCACUGGCUAUUUUCUAUCCCUGAAAUGCUCUUCCCUCCCUUGGCUCCAAUACCACCUUCUACAAAAGGCCCCCCUCUACAAAACCCCAAUUUCUUGUCUUCUGCAAAGCAACCAAUCACCAUAAUUUUAUUUAAAUCCUAUUUUGUGGCAGGAUUCUUUGAGAGUUUUUCUUUGUUUCAUUAAAUGUAUUUAACUCUGCUGUCCUCAUUACAAGUACAUAGAUCAAAAAGUCAAAUAUCAACAUAUAUUAUUCACAAUGCAAAAGUGUAAAACUGAUAGUUUAAUGUAAGAUGUAAAUGCAACAGAUAAAGCUGAGAAUCUAAUGCAUAACUGAUGUAUAACUGGGUUCCCCCCUGAACAUCAUUAAGUAGGAUAUAAGGGUAAAUACUCUGCAAAGGCAACAUGUUACUCUAAAUUAGUAAUUUAUGAGGGUGAUAUGAUUCUUAGUUUAAAUAGUUAACAGCCAAGCUACUACUAGAAAUAAAAUAUGUUAAAUUGUAUUAACAAGACUAAGAAUUUUAUAUAUGUGACCAUAGAGUAAAUUUCAAUUUUUCUGUCAUAUCUGACAGGAGUAGGAAAUGAAGAGGGUAUAUGGCACUUUGCCAUAUUGAAGCACAUGAUAUUAACAGGUUUCUAAUACCUCGCUGACUUCUCAUUACUCAGUAAUAACAAUAACAAGUAAUAUUUGUAUAACACUCAUUAUGUAUCAAACAUUUUUAAGCACUUUACAAUUAUUAUCUCAUUUCAUCUUCACAACGAUCAAGGGAAGCAGGUGCAUAAAUAUCCCUGUUUUACAAAGGUCAGUAACUGAGACAAACUGAAGAUAAAUGAUUUGCACAAGGUUCUACAAUAUUCAGUCCCAAUGCCAUAUUUGAACCUAGCCUAACACUCUAUCCAAUGCUUUACUACCAAUAUGUGUCAAGGACCCUUUUCCAAAUUGCUUCUUGGUGUCUUUUUGUUCCGAAGGGAUGAAAAUGAGCAAAGUUCUAUAUAGACUGAAAACCAAAUAAAUUUUGUAUUUGUUUUGUAUUAAUAGCAAUUCAAUAAUUAAUUUAAGAGGGAUUUAAUUUAUAUUCCCUAUUGUUUUAAAACAUUUUAAAAUUCUAUUAUUUAUUUUGGUCAUAUGAAGUGAAAGUUGUAUAUUUGCAAUCAUAUUCUAGUUCACUUACUGAGGGACACUGGGCAAAUUAGUAGCCAGUCCUCAGUUUCUUCCACUGUUUAAAAAGGGGGCUGCUUGAAUAAAUCAGGUUUUCUUAA